rnacentral:rRNA from 1 species
UACGUAGGGUCCAAGCGUUAUCCGGAAUCACUGGGCGUAAAGCGUGCGUAGGUGGCGUGUUAAGUGUGAUGUUAAAUCGCGGGGCUCAACCCUGUCGGUGCAUCGCAUACUGGCAUGCUAGAGGGAAGCAGAGGCAAGUGGAAUUUGUAGUGUAGCAGUGAAAUGCGUAGAUAUUACAAGGAACACCAAUGGCGAAGGCAGCCUGCUGGGCUUCUUCUGACACUGAGGUACGAAAGCGUGGGGAGCGAACAGG